GGCUCGGUGGUGGAUGGUCUACACUUGUUUCUUAUAGCGUGGGGGACAAUGCUUAAGCAUAGAAGGAGCCCGUUCAAUUCGGGCCCGAGCAA